rnacentral:rRNA from 1 species
GUGUCAGCCGCCGCGGUAAUACGUAGGGUGCGAGCGUUGUCCGGAGUUAUUGGGCGUAAAGAGCUCGUAGGCGGCCUGUCACGUCGGCUGUGAAAACCCGCGGCUCAACCGCGGGCCGGCAGUCGAUACGGGCAGGCUCGAGUCCGGUAGGGGAGUCUGGAAUUCCUGGUGUAGCGGUGAAAUGCGCAGAUAUCAGGAGGAACACCGGUGGCGAAGGCGGGACUCUGGGCCGGAACUGACGCUGAGGAGCGAAAGCGUGGGGAGCGAACAGGAUUAGAUACCCGCGUAGUCC